rnacentral:rRNA from 1 species
UGGGCGUAAAGAGCUUGUAGGCGGUUUGUCGCGCCUGCUGUGAAAAUCCGGGGCUCAACCCCGGACUUGCAGUGGGUACGGGCAGACUAGAGUGUGGUAGGGGAGACUGGAAUUCCUGGUGUAGCGGUGAAAUGCGCAGAUAUCAGGAGGAACACCGAUGGCGAAGGCAGGUCUCUGGGCCACUACUGACGCUGAGAAGCGAAAGCAUGGGGAGCGAACAGGAUUAGAUACCCUGGUAGUCCAUGCCGUAAGCGUUGGGCGCUAGGUGUGGGACUCAUUCCACGAGUUCCGUGCCGCAGCUGACGCAUUAAGCGCCCCGCCUGGGGAGUACGGCCGCAAGGCUAAAACUCAAAGGAAUUGACGGGGGCCCGCACAAGCGGCGGAGCAUGCGGAUUAAUUCGAUGCAACGCGAAGAACCUUACCAAGGCUUGACAUAUACCGGAAACAUCCAGAGAUGGGUGCCCCUUUUGGUCGGUAUACAGGUGGUGCAUGAUUGUCGUCAGCUCGUGUCGUGAGAUGUUGGGUUAAGUCCCGCAACGAGCGCAACCCUCGUUCUAUGUUGCCAGCACGUGAUGGUGGGGACUCA